rnacentral:rRNA from 1 species
UGAGAGUUUGAUCCUGGCUCAGGACGAACGCUGGCGGCGUGCCUAACACAUGCAAGUCGAGCGAUGAAGUUCUUCGGAACGGAUUAGCGGCGGACGGGUGAGUAACACGUGGGUAACCUGCCUUGUAGAGGGGGAUAGCCUUCCGAAAGGAAGAUUAAUACCGCAUAACAUCUUUUUAUCGCAUGGUAGAAAGAUCAAAGGAGCAAUCCGCUACAAGAUGGACCCGCGGCGCAUUAGCUAGUUGGUGAGGUAACGGCUCACCAAGGCGACGAUGCNGGAAGCCCUUCGGGGCAGGAAGACAGGUGGUGCAUGGUUGUCGUCAGCUCGUGUCGUGAGAUGUUGGGUUAAGUCCCGCAACGAGCGCAACCCUUAUCAUUAGUUGCUACCAUUAAGUUGAGCACUCUAGUGAGACUGCCACGGUUAACGUGGAGGAAGGUGGGGAUGACGUCAAAUCAUCAUGCCCCUUAUGUCUAGGGCUACACACGUGCUACAAUGGUGAAUACAAAUAGAUGCAAUACCGCGAGGUGGAGCCAAACUAUAAAAUUCAUCCCAGUUCGGAUUGCAGUCUGAAACUCGACUGCAUGAAGCCGGAGUUGCUAGUAAUCGCGAAUCAGCAUGUCGCGGUGAAUACGUUCCCGGGCCUUGUACACACCGCCCGUCACACCAUGAGAGCUGGUAACACCCGAAGUCCGUGAGGUAACCGCAAGGAGCCAGCGGCCGAAGGUGGGAUUAGUGAUUGGGGUGAAGUCGUAACAAGGUAGCCGUAGGAGAACCUGCGGCUG